AUUGAACGCUGGCGGCAGGCUCAACACAUGCAAGUCGAGCGGAUGAAGGGAGCUUGCUCCUGGAUUCAGCGGCGGACGGGUGAGUAAUACCUAGGAAUCUGCCUGGUAGUGGGGGAUAACGUCCGGAAACGGGCGCUAAUACCGCAUACGUCCUGCGGGGGCAAGUUGGGGGUGGUCGGAACUCACGCUAUCAGAUGAGCUUAGGCCGGAUUAGCUAGUUGGUGGGGUAAAGGCCUACCAAGGCGACGAUCGGUAACUGGUCUGAGAGGAUGAUCAGUGACACUGGAACUGAGACACGGUCAAGGCGCCUAAGAGACGCAGCAGUCGGCAAUAGGAGACAGCGGGCGAGAGCAUUACCCAGCGAUGCCGAGUGUGUGACGAAGGUCUUCGGAGUGUAAUGCCCGCCAAGUUGGGAGGAACCGCAGUCAGCUAUUACCUUGCUGUAGUGACGGUACUAACAAAAUAAGCACCGGCUAACUACGUG
rnacentral:rRNA from 1 species